UAGCUUUUGAUUGGUUGUUAUUGAUACGACAGUGUCGAAUUGUUAUACUUAUAUUAAUUAUUACCGACCUUAUAUCACAACGAUACUUUCCUGACCCAUGAAAACAUUACAGACACUCACAAAAUGAAGGCUUUCCUAGUUCUUGCAGUUUUGAUAAGUCUAUCAGUGCGCACCGAAUGUUUUUUAUUCGGUGACAUCGCCUGUACCAUUCUACCAGCCACAUGUAGUAGUCACCUUACGAAUAUCACCCAAUCCAGUACAUGCACUGAAAAGAGGCCUUAUUUCAAAUGUUUACAGGAUAACAACUGUAACUCGGGUACGGUUUAUUCAGCUCAGGUCACAGCUUUUGAUUAUGGAAAAUGUGGUGCAGCUGGACUCCUGAUUUCCUCCACCCUACUAAUCGUCAUGACAAUAUUUGCCAAAUUAUUCUCCAACUAAAAUCCACCAUGGACCAAUAAACGUGUAUAAGACAAUAAUUAUACGUCCCCGCCAUUGUGCCUACGUCACCGAGUGUUCCCUGUAACCUUCUAUCUUGAAAUGUACAUUUCUCGUACCAUCCUUUUUUUCCUAAUCAGAUUAAAACACAGAUCCUAUUUCGUUUCGUUUUUAUAGUUCAAAAUUUCGUUUGACUUGUCUUUACUACACUAGGAUCUGUAAGAGUUGUUAUCAUAGACGUGUUCUGAAUGGUGUGAGGGCUUAAUCAAUGAAACGGUCUGUUACGGCUAGCUUUAGGCGUGUUUUGCACGGAACUGAGGGUAAUCCAUUAUUAACAUCAAUGCUGAUUAGUUAAUCAAAUAUCUGACGUCAUAGGGUCAAAAGCCACUCGUAUGACAUCGGAAGCGACCUCUCGUUACAACCGGUCAGAUCUUCAUGAUUGUAAUGUAGGCCAUCGAAAGUAUAAAAAAAAACGAAACGAAAUAUAGAUCUAUCUUUUAAUCAGAUUGAUUUUUUCCCUGAUGAAUUAUUAUAUUUUAAAAUAUCUGUUAUAUUGUACAUACUUCUAUUUUCUAGUUCCAAUGACAUGUAGUUAUAAAACAUGCAUGUGUAUUUGCUAUUUUAAAUCAAUUAAUUAACAAAAUAAAGUCUUCCGGUUAUU